GAUGAACGCUGGCGGCGUGCCUAAUACAUGCAAGUCGAGCGAACGGACGAGAAGCUUGCUUCUCUGAUGUUAGCGGCGGACGGGUGAGUAACACGUGGAUAACCUACCUAUAAGACUGGGAUAACUUCGGGAAACCGGAGCUAAUACCGGAUAAUAUUUUGAACCGCAUGGUUCAAAAGUGAAAGACGGUCUUGCUGUCACUUAUAGAUGGAUCCGCGCUGCAUUAGCUAGUUGGUAAGGUAACGGCUUACCAAGGCAACGAUGCAUAGCCGACCUGAGAGGGGGGGCAGCCACUCUGAAACGACGACACGGUACGGACGCCUGCGGGAGGAAGCAGUAGGGAAUGUUCGACAAUGGGCUAAAGCUGGACAAACUAUCUCCGUGUGAAUGAUUAUAGUUGUAGGAUCGUAAACCCCUCUUAUUAGUGACUAACCAAAAUGUAAGUAACAGUGCACAUCAUGACGCUACGGAAUCAGAAAGCCACCGCAAACUACGUC
rnacentral:rRNA from 1 species